GCGAUUGCCGAUUGGGAUCGAAAAUACAACGCGGUUAAAGCAUACGAGUAUUCGAGCAGGCAGUGGUAGUCAACGCCAAAAACUGAAAGGGCGUCUGCGCGAAUUGUGUAUAUCACCAAUUCACCAUCGGCCUGCGCGGCUUUUAUACCGUAACAGCAAAUGAUCAGGAAGAAUCUGCUUAUCUAUAUGUAUCCCCUUUUCUCAUUAUUUUUAAUUUAUUAGUUCUAUUAAUGUUUAUAUCCUUCCUUACGCGUAAAUCAAUUCGUUAGCCAAUUUAAGAGGGAUAUUAGGUUUGGGGAUAUGAUUACUAUUUGCAGUGAUUUUCACUCGUAUUACUUAAGCACAUACCUAUUAUAAAUUUAUACCAACAAGGAAAGUGGUGAUCGAUCGGACGGAAAAUGGUAAAGGAGAUGGAAUACUACUACGUGCUUGGGGUCAGCCCCACCG
rnacentral:misc_RNA from 1 species